rnacentral:rRNA from 1 species
UACGAAGGGGGCUAGCGUUGCUCGGAAUCACUGGGCGUAAAGGGUGCGUAGGCGGGUCUUUAGGUCAGGGGUGAAAUCCUGGAGCUCAACUCCAGAACUGCCUUCGAUACUGGGAGUCUCGAGUCCGGGAGAGGUGAGUGGAACUGCGAGUGUAGAGGUGAAAUUCGUAGAUAUUCGCAAGAACACCAGUGGCGAAGGCGGCUCACUGGCCCGGUACUGACGCUGAGGUGCGAAAGCGUGGGGAGCGAACAGG